rnacentral:rRNA from 1 species
GAUGAACGCUGGCGGCGUGCCUAAUACAUGCAAGUCGAGCGAAUGGAUUAAGAGCUUGCUCUUAUGAAGUUAGCGGCGGACGGGUGGGUAACACGUGGGUAACCUGCCCAUAAGACUGGGAUAACUCCGGGAAACCGGGGCUAAUACCGGAUAACAUUUUGAACCGCAUGGUUCGAAAUUGAAAGGCGGCUUCGGCUGUCACUUAUGGAUGGACCCGCGUCGCAUUAGCUAGUUGGUGAGGUAACGGCUCACCAAGGCAACGAUGCGUAGCCGACCUGAGAGGGUGAUCGGCCACACUGGGACUGAGACACGGCCCAGACUCCUACGGGAGGCAGCAGUAGGGAAUCUUCCGCAAUGGACGAAAGUCUGAUGGAGCAACGCCGCGUGAGUGAUGAAGGCUUUCGGGUCGUAAAACUCUGUUGUUAGGGAAGAACAAGUGCUAGUUGAAUAAGCUGACACCUUGACGGUACCUAACCAGAAAGCCACGGCUAACUACGUGCCAGCCGCCGCAGUAA